GUGCGAUUUUGGUUACCAUUCAC
rnacentral:snRNA from 1 species